rnacentral:rRNA from 1 species
CGUGUCGUCGUGGCUGGCACUCGCUGUCGACCGCGGUGGCUGGCAGGGCUCAUAGGGCGGCGCGCUCCGCAUUUUGACUCUGGAUAACUUACUGGUCGAUCGCACGGUCUCCCAUGCUCGGCGACGGAUCUCUUGAGGGU